CCCGCCUCGGCCUCCCAAAGUGCUGGGAUUACAGGCAUGAGCCACCGUGCCCAGCCCCAGUUCCAUCUUUGAUAGGAGAUAGAAAAAAAGAUUGAGCAGGAUGGAUGAAGAGGACACUGUUUUUCAAAACUGAUAAACCAGAACUUUUCAAAUGAGUAAACAUCAGGUAAACAUGGAAAGAGACAGUCUGGACAGGCUGAGGGGAUGGCACUGAAGACCCUGCAGUUUUCCAACUGGCUAAUCAGACCCCUGGGAAGAAGGAAUGCUUUUCGGGGUACCUGGCCCAGGCAGCAGAAGGGACGCUCCGUGACUGCUGGGCAUAGCCCUUCAUAGGCCUCAGAGCUUCUGUUUUCACUGUUUUGCCACACCAGCGGAUCUGCAAGAGAGUAGCCCAGGCAGAACUCAGCUGUUCUUUGCAGCCACCCCAGCGGAGAUGCCACACAGACCAGUGAAACCACCUUGGCAGCUCCAGCACCUGUUGAGCUGCCCAGCCAACACCACAUGGGGCAGAGAUGAGCUGCCAAGCCUGUCUACUACGUUUUGGGGUGGUGGAGGAGUGGGCAGUGCCAAAUCCCGAGAAGAAGCUCAAUGAGUAUUUGUCUCUUUUCAUUUCAGCAAGCAGAGGGUCCUCAAGGAUUUUUGUCUGUCUUGGUUGUCUGUCGUAUCUCGUGUCUAGAACACAGAACUCACAGUAAGUAGGCACUUCAAUCAAUUACCUGUAGAAUGAACGGACUGAAUGUCACCUUGUUAGAGUACCCUCCUGACCACACUCUGCUAAGCAGUAAUCUUUUAUUUCUCUUUCCCAGUUUUAUUUUUCCUCAUUUACACUUAAUCACCUUGUGACACCUAUUUGUUUACUGUUUCCCCAGUAGAGUGAAAGUCACUUUAACAGCAGAGAUUUAAAUGUAUUUUAAUCCCUACAAAGGAGAAAAAGGGAGGAAAUACG